rnacentral:rRNA from 1 species
AUGACGACCCGGCGGGUGAGGCGGCGCACGUGCAGGGACAAGGGGAAGGGGAAGGAGGUUGUGGAGGACGGGCGGGCGGUGGAGGCGGGCUCAUCGCCGCCGCGGGACUGGGCGCCGGCGGGGGAUGGGGAUGGGGGCGGCGAGGCGGUGGCCGGCGAGGCCGUGGACUGGACGCUGCUUCCGGAUGACACGGUGCUGCAGCUAUUUGGCCGGCUGAGCUACCGCGACCGCGCCAGCUUGGGGGCGACCUGCCAGACGUGGAGGGGGCUCGGGUCGUCGCCGUGCCUGUGGAGCACGCUCGACCUCCGUGCCCACCGUUGCGACGCUGAGGUCGCCUCGUCGCUGGCCUCGCGAUGCGGGGGCCUGCAGCGGCUGCGGCUGCGGGGCCAUGAGGCGGCUGUGGCGGUGGCCUCCGCCCUCGGCGCCCGCGACCUCCGAGAGGUGGUGGCCGAGGGCUGCAGGGGACUCACUGACGCCACCCUUGCAGUCCUCGCCGCUCGACACGAGGCGCUGGAGAGCCUCCAGAUCGGUCCAGACCCCCUUGAGCGCAUCUCCAGCGACGCCGUCCGCCAUGUCGCUCUUUGCUGCUCCCGCCUCCGUCGCCUCCACCUCUCGGGUCUCCGUGAAGUUGACUCUGAUGCCAUAGGAGCGCUGGCGCGCUACUGCCCCCUCCUUGAGGACGUCGCCUUGCUCGACUGUGGCACUGUAGAUGAGGCUGCCCUUGGUGACAUCCACUCCCUCCGAUUCCUCUCUAUAGCAGGAUGCUACAACGUGAAGUGGGCUACAGCAUCCGCCUCAUGGGCCCAGCUUCCCUUGCUAGUCGCCGUCGACGUCUCCCGCACUGAUGUCUCUCCAAAUGCUGUCGCUCGUCUAAUCUCCCACUCCAAAACCCUCGAGCUUAUAUGUGCUCUUAACUGCAAAUUCGUCGAAGAGGAACAAGCACACAGUCCCACUGCAUUUAGCAACUCCAAGGGCAAGCUUGUGCUUACCAUCACAUGCCCCAUUUUUAAAUCACUCGCUUCACUGUUUCCUGGCGAGGCUGUGGAGGAGCACGGCGUGUUCAAUGAGUGUAAUUGGAGGAACAAAAGGAAAAUACUUGGUGUCAUGAUGAACUGGCUCGAGUGGGUCCUAUCACAGUCGCUUCUUCGGAUUGCGGAGUGCAAUCCAUAUGGCAUGGAUGACUUCUGGUUGCAGCAGGGCACAUCAAUGCUGCUGAGCCUGGUGAAGAGCUCACAGGAGGAUGUGCAGGAGCGUGCAGCUACAACAAUUGCUACAUUUGUGGUUAUUGACGAUGAAACUGCGAAUGUGGAUGCUGCAAGGUCGGAGGCGGUAAUGCGGGAUGGAGGCAUUCCACUUCUGCUGGACCUUGCAAGGUGCUCAAGGGUGAGUGCACAGUCUGAAGCAGCAAAGGCUAUUGCCAACCUAUCGGUGAAUGCAAAGGUUGCAAAGGUGGUUGCAGAUGAAGGAGGUAUCGCCAUUUUCACUAAUUUGGCUAAGUCGACGAAUCGACUUGUUGCUGAAGAAGCUGCUGGUGGCCUUUGGAAUCUCUCCGUGGGUGAGGAGCACAAGGCGGCUAUUGCGGCAGCUGGUGGUAUAAAGGCUUUGGUUGAUCUUAUAUUUCGUUGGCCUGCUGGGACUGAUGGAGUUCUUGAACGUGCUGCUGGUGCGCUUGCAAACCUAGCUGCUGAUGACAAGUGCAGCCUGGAAGUCGCAAAGGCUGGUGGUGUCCAUGCUUUGGUUACACUUGCUCGAUCAUGUAAACUUGAGGGCGUCCUAGAACAGGCGGCAAGGGCUCUAGCCAACUUAGCUGCACAUGGAGAUAACAACAACAAUAAUGCGGCUGUAGGUCAGGAAGCAGGGGCUCUUGAGGCAUUAGUGCAACUAACAUGUUCUCAAAACGAGGGUGUAAGGCAAGAGGCUGCUGGUGCUUUGUGGAACCUAUCAUUUGAUGAUAGGAAUCGUGAAGCUAUUGCUGCUGCGGGGGGUGUUGAAGCAUUGGUUUCACUUGCACAACAAUGUCUGAAUGCUUCGGAAGGCCUUCAGGAGAGAGCUGCUGGCGCAUUAUGGGGACUAUCUGUCUCAGAAUCGAACAGCAUCGCAAUUGGGCAGGAGGGUGGCGUUGCACCAUUGCUCACAAUGGCACAGUCAGAGGUUGAAGAUGUUCAUGAGACAGCUGCAGGGGCAUUGUGGAAUCUUGCUUUCUAUUCCAGCAAUGCUCACCGUAUAGUUGAAGAAGGUGGGGUGCCUAUCCUUGUGCACCUUUGCUCAUCAUCAGGGUCAAAGAUGGCUCGGUUCAUGUCUGCGCUAGCCCUUGCCUAUAUGUUUGAUGGAAGAAUGGAUGAGGCCGCCAUUGUUGGGACAUCGUCUGAGGGCAGUUCCAAAGGUGUUAACGUCGAGGGAGCUAGAAGAAUGGCUUUGAAGCAUAUAGAGACCUUUGUGUUGACGUUUUCAGAUCCACAGGUGUUCUCUAUGGCUGCAGCUUCCUCAGCACCAGCAGCGCUAUCUCAGGUUGCCGAAGCAGUGUUCAUACAAGAAGCUGGACACCUGAGAUGCAGUGGUGCUGAGAUAGGUAGAUUUAUUGCCAUGCUUCGGAAUCCUACACCAGUUCUUCGUGCGUGUGCCGCAUUUGCCCUUCUUCAGUUCUCAAUCCCGGGAGGUCGACAUGCAACACACCAUGCGGACCUUCUGCAAAAUGUAGGAGCGGCUCGGGUCUUGCGUGCAGCGGCGGCAGCAACAUCAGCUUCCAUUGAGGCCAAAGUGUUCGCCAGAAUUGUCCUUAGGAAUCUGGAACACCAUCAGGCAGGGACUUCAACCUGA